rnacentral:lncRNA from 1 species
AAAAUCUAUAUUGUUUUAUCACAGUAUCUAGAUUUUAUAUUGUACUUUCAUAGAUGUUUUCAUUGUAAUAUUCAUAAAACGAAGGAUCAAAUUUUCAGUUUCUGAUUUACAAAUAAUUGCCUUAGGCCUUACAACCUUUGGACGUCACUGAUUAUGGUCGUCACAAACCAAGAGAGGGCUCUUUUAUAAAUGGGACGUUCAUAGUCUGAACCCCAAAUCAGGGAAACCGAACCGUGUCUUCUCGUGCCUCUUUCAUCUUCAUGUUUCUUUUCUCCUUCCUCAGUGGCUUCAGAGCUUCUACUCAAGAUCACGGUUACAAAAAUACCAUUUCUGUGGCAAUACGACAAGCUAUUCAGCUA